rnacentral:rRNA from 1 species
GAUGAACGCUGGCGGCGUGCCUAAUACAUGCAAGUCGAGCGAACAGACGAGGAGCUUGCUCCUCUGACGUUAGCGGCGGACGGGUGAGUAACACGUGGAUAACCUACCUAUAAGACUUGGAUAACUUCGGGAAACCGGAGCUAAUACCGGAUAAUAUAUUGAACCUCAUGCUUCAAUAGUCAAAGACGGUUUUGCUUUCACUUAUAGAUGGAUCCGCGCCGCAUUAGCUUGUUGGUAAGGUAACGGCUUACCAAGGCAACGAUGCGUAGCCGACCUGAGAGGGUGAUCGGCCACACUGGAACUGAGACACGGUCCAGACUCCUACGGGAGGCAGCAGUAGGGAAUCUUCCGCAAUGGGCGAAAGCCUGACGGAGCAACGCCGCGUGAGUGAUGAAGGUCUUCGGAUCGUAAAACUCUGUUAUUAGGGAAGAACAAAUGUGUAAGUAACUAUGCACGUCUUGACGGUACCUAAUCAGAAAGCCACGGCUAACUACGUG